GUAAGCAAAGGGGGGGUGAGGGUGCUGAGGGGAGAAGGUGGGGGGAGAGGGAGGGAGAGAAAGAAGUGGGGGAAAAACAACUUUCUUGAGAGCCCGCCCAACCCCAGCCCCAAGAUCUCUGACAUACCUUCUGCAAAUGUGCUCAUCAGAGGGGAAACGUCUUUAUUCCACGGAGCCAUUUUUCAUGCCCUAACAAACCAGCCUGUGAGAGAGCCAGGAGUGGUGAGGAGAGGCCUGUGGAGGGGCGGCUGGGGUCUGCUGGGAAGGGGGCCUGGGCAGGGGGUGGGGGGGGGGCUCAGGGAGGAGAGCACAGGGAGAGAGCCGAAAAGUGGAAGACAGAAUCUGCCCAGGCCCCACUCAGGUCCAGAACAUUCUCCCUGCCAUCCUUGGGCCUGCCAGGUGGAUGGUAGGGCUGAGGGGCAGGACCCAGGCUGGGAUCAGCUAUGUCUGUCACUUCAGGGCCUGGUGUGUGGAAGGCUAUGCUGCAAAGUUUUUCGUCUGAGCCCUUGGCCUUUAUUUAGUUGUCCGCCGACCUUCUGGAUUGUAAUCCAAACCAGCAGACUUCCGUGGGUGCGGUUAACUAAGGGAAGUUGUUUUUUUGUGAAGAGAUUGCUCCGAUACAAGCUAAUAAUCCAUCAUAUCCAGAAGCAAAACAAAGAGCAUGGACUUCGGAGACAGACUUCCAGGAAUCGGAUCUCAGUUCCAUCAUUUACUUGUCCUGUGAUCAUGAGCAAGGUAUUCGCUUUUUUUAAACCUCAGUUUUCUCAUCUAUAAAAUGGUGAUGAUAACAGUAGCUACCUUAUAGGGUUAUUGUGGUGAUUUAGCAAGUGUAUAUGAUGUAUUUUAAAAAACAUGUGUGUGCGUAUACUUUGCUACUUACUUUGAUUGUUGUAGCCUACAUUCUUGCUACAGAGAAGUCAGCUAUUGUUAUUAUUACUACUUUGAAGGUAAUAUUCCUAUUCAUCUCUUACUUUUUAAAAUGGUUUUUCAUUGCCUUUGUCUUUUGGUGCCAAAGGUGUGGGUAUGGUUUGCUUUGUAUUUGUCCUGCCUGGGUUUCUUAGCAUUUCUUUUAUCAUAUAUACUUUAAGAAGGUGUAAUAUAAUAUGUAUCUUAGAAAAGUGCCUGGAAUCCAAAAAAUGUACUUUUAUGUGCUCUUGUUAUUUUUACUUGACUUGGUCUUCUUUCCAGGCAGUGUGAUUUUCCAUUGUGUUAUGUUAUUUCACAUCCUUAGUAGGUUUCAGUGGCUAGUAGAUGAAAUCCAAACUCUGCAUUUGUAGUUCUCAGUCUUGGUGGCAUAUGAGCAUACCAGCCUUGGCAUCAACCUGUGAUGUUUUUAAAACUCUGAGGCUCAAGUCGAAUCAGGCCGAUCACAUCAGAACUUUUAAGGUGGGAUACAGAUAUCAAUCAGUAGUUUUAAAAGAACCCCAAGUGGUUUCAGUGUUCAGCCAAGAUUGAAAAUCCUUGCUUUAUUUCCUAGCUUUCAAGGUCCCUUAUAGUCUAGCUGCAACCAAUCUUUCUAAUCAUUACAUCCCUGCUUCUCAGCAUGGGCAAUCUCUUGUAGCCAAUCUACUCAAGGGCCAGACUUCCACCUAUAUAAUCUCUCAUAUAAGGCAGGAGCUCGGCAGCUGCUGGUUCCCCUCUUGCCCCUCCCUGCCAUCGUGGUGGGGGUGGGAAGCAGGCAUGGGCCUCUCUCCUUGCUCUUCCCUCCUGGUCUUCAUCUCUUUACCUUAACUUGGAUCUGUUUUGUGGCAUAUUUUGCCUUUUUUUUGCCCCU
rnacentral:lncRNA from 1 species